GCGAGAGUAUCCAAGUCGGCCAAAGGAGCGGGACUUAAGAUCCCGUCGCGAAGGCGUCCAAGGGUUCAAAUCCCUUCUCUCGCA
rnacentral:tRNA from 1 species